UUGAUCGAGAUUAAGGCUCACAUAAAACAACACAUGUCAUGAAAGUGAGUAGCAUGUACUAAGUAAACUAAAACAGAAAUAUAUAUGUAUGAUGACAACGAAAGUUGUAUUCCCCAUUGAUGUAACUUGUGCUUCCAAUGUUUAUACACUGUAAAGGGCAAACUUCUUGGGGUCAGCUCUUGAGAGAAAAGUUUAUAGUGUCGUACGAAUCACAAAUUCUAACUAUGACAGAAAAGAUUAUUGCUCUUUAGUCUUUACCUAAAACUUCUUGGGAUCUCUAGUCGUAUCUUUUAGGUAAAAUAAUCAGUAUAUAUAAAAAAAUCUUUUACAAAUGAGUACACAUGUUUGUGUCCAACCCCAUGAUAUAUAUACGAUUUGGAUAUGAUCUAACUCACAGUUGAUGAAAAAAGAAAUCAUAAUAGAUAUGGAUUAAACACUUAAGACCUACCUUAUCCUCCUAAAGGUUUGGUGGACGAUUCAAAGAUCAAUUAUGCUGAUGUAUUGGUCUUUAUGGGGCUAUUCUAGAACUGUGCUUUUGAUCCGUCGCCUCUUUUGCUUGGCAUAUUUUUUAACACAAAACAAUGCCAAAGGUUUUAUGUUUGGUCUAAAACGUUACUUCAAGAAAGAUGUAUUGGGCCUUAUUUCCACAGUACUUCAAGAAAGAAGAUCUUUGAGUGAAUCUCAAUAUAUAAAAGGGAUUGAGCUAGAACUCUCAACCAUCCAACUCAGCAGAUUAAAUCAACUAAUUAGAGAGCAUUACGAUGCCACAUCACUCCAGCUUUGUCGAAACCCUAGCAUGUCUCAUCGUCUUCAGACUCUUCACCUUCUAUGUGUUUCUAACUUCUCCGAUUCUCAUCUGUAACGUCGGUCUCCAACUCAUAAAACUUUUUAUUUACUGCGACAAUCGAAACCAAGAAACUGUUGAGAAUCUCUCCACUUUUCAUUUAUUUAUACCCAUUUUCACAUUUUCUUCCCCACGCCAAAAUAUUGAAAACCGUAUAACUUCAGAAAAUGGCUUUCAGAUCUGCAAAAUCCAUCGGGAAGGCUACAAGGAGGUUUUCUUUCUCCAAAAUUUGUUUUAGGGUUCUUGGAAAUUUGGCUUUUCUAGAAAAAGCUUCCAUUGAUUUUGCAGAUUUCCUUACAGAAGCAGACUAAUUGUCUUCAUUCCUCUCAAGUUUUCCAUAUCUGGUGUUGUCAUUGAAUGUAAUCUCUCUUCUCUUUUUGUUUUAAAGUAUUAGUAAGAAGAAAUAGUUCUUUAUUGUUGUGUGCGGUUACAAUUGAGAAGAUCCAAGGAGGCAUUGAUUUAAGAUGAAAAUAAGGUCAAUACUUUCCAAGGAGGAUAGCUUCAGACGCCUACUGAGCAAUGGUUAUUUAGAUGAAUAUAAUGAAGAUGAAAUGAGCUUAGAUGUUAACAUGGAUUAGAGUAUUGGUCUAGGAGGUUCAACUGAUUCCAUUGGUGAAUCAGGUGGAUGGAUGGUUCAGAAGAGAAUGCACACUCGCCAGUUCCUGCAACAAAGAAGGUGAAUUGAUGAUCAAACAGAGAGAGGUGAAACAUUGACACCACUUCUGAAAUGUACAAAGCUUAUGAAAGUUUUCUUAGAAGUAGUGAGAUCGCUCUAUGAAAUUUUAGUUGCAUUGAUAGAUGAGAAAAAGUGGAUACAUAUUGUUGUGUAUUGGUCCUUGCCUAAAAGAACUUUGAGAUGUUUGCUAUGUUUUUUUCAUCAGAUUAAAGGGUCAAUUAUACCGUUAAUACAAUAAUAUAUUUUCUGAGGUUA